rnacentral:rRNA from 1 species
AUAAGUUGACAAGAGCAUCGGGUGGAUGCCUUGGCGUCAGAAGGCGAUGAAAGACGUGGUAAGCUGCGAUAAGCCUCGGGGAGGAGCUAAACAUCCUUUGAGCCGGGGAUUUCUGAAUGGGGAAACCCAGCGGGAGUCAUGUCCCGUUAACAUUCACUGAAUUCAUAGGUGACUGUAGCUAACGCAGGGAAGUGAAACAUCUCAGUACCUGCAGGAAGAGAAAUCAAUUGAGAUUCCCCAAGUAGCGGCGAGCGAACGGGGAAGAGCCCAAACCGCGCGGAUUCGUCCGUACGGGGUUGUAGGGCCGGAAUGACCGAUUCACGCGUAACCAGAAGAAGUGAGCAGGAAAGCUCCGCCAGAGAGGGUGACAGUCCCGUAUUCGAAAGUGAGAGUGACGGUUCCGGUACCUGAGUACUGCGAGACACGUGAAAUCUCGUGGGAAUCCGGGAGGACCAUCUCCUAAGGCUAAAUACUAACUGACGACCGAUAGUGUACCAGUACCGUGAGGGAAAGGUGAAAAGAACCCCUGUCAGGGGAGUGAAAGAGAAUCUGAAACCUGGUGCUUACAAGCUGUGGGAGCCGUACUUGUACGGUGACCAUGUGCCUUUUGCAUAAUGAGUCAGCGAGUUAAUCUGUACAGCAAGGUUAAGCGUAAGUGAAGCCGCAGCGAAAGCGAGUCCGAACAGGGCCACAGUUGUGCGGAUUAGACCCGAAACCGGGUGAUCUAUCCAUGAGCAGGUUGAAGCAAGGGUAAAGCCUUGUGGAGGACCGAACCAGUUCUGGCUGAAAACAGUUUGGAUGACUUGUGGAUAGGGGUGAAAGGCCAAUCAAACCCGGUGAUAGCUGGUUCUCCCCGAAAUAUAUUGAGGUAUAGCCUUGCGGAUUGUCUUAUGGAGGUAAAGCUCUGACAGAACUAGGGGUCCUAUCCGACUACCGAAUUCUUUCAAACUCUGAAUACCAUUAAGAUCUACCGCAGGAGUCAGACGGCGGGUGCUAAGGUUCGUCGUCAAAAGGGCAACAGCCCAGACCGACAGCUAAGGCCUCCAAAUGCAUGCUCAGUGGUUAAGGUGGUGGCGUUGUGCAGACACCCAGGACGUUGGCUUAGAAGCAGCCAUCGUUUAAAGAAAGCGUAAUAGCUCACUGGUUCAAUGGCGCUGCGCCGAAAAUGUAACGGGGCUAAGCAUGCUGCCGAAGCUUCGGAUUUGUCUCUGACAACUGGUAGGGGAGCGUUCUCUGCGGGCUGAAGCGGAACCGAAAGGUUUCGUGGACUGCAGAGAAGUGAUUAUGCUGACAUGAGUAACGAUAAAAUAUGUGAAAAACAUAUUCGCCGUAAAUCCAAGGUUUCCUGGGUAAAGGUAAUCUUCCCAGGGUUAGUCGGACCCUAAGGCCAGGCUGAAAGGCGUAGCUGAUGGGAAACGGGUUAAUAAUCCUGUACUUGUGCGAUUGUGCGAAGAAGGGACGCAGGAUGGUAGACAGGCCGGUUUUUGGAAUCCGGUGCAAGUGUGUAGGUAUGCUCCGCAGGCAAAUCCGCGGGGAUGAGCCGAGACACGAGUCCGUGGGCGCAAGCCCUGAAGCUGUUGAGCCACGGCUGCCAAGAAAAGCUUCUAAGUUUAGAUCGCGCGAACCGUACCGCAAACCAACUCAGGUGGAUGGGAUGAAUAAUCCAAGGCGCUCGAGAGAACUCUGGCCAAGGAACUCGGCAAAUUGACCCCGUACCUUCGGAAUAAGGGGUGCUCCCCAUGGUGAGACAAAUUCUUGUUCAGCCUCAGGGAGCCGCAGAGAAAUGGUGGUGGCGACUGUUUACUAAAAACAUAGGUCUGUGCGAAGUCCUACAGACGACGUAUACGGACUGACGCCUGCCCGGUGCCGGAAGGUUAAAAGGAGGAGUCAGCGCAAGCGAAGCUCCGAUUUGAAGCCCCGGUAAACGGCGGCCGUAACUAUAACGGUCCUAAGGUAGCGAAAUUCCUUGUCGGGCAAGUUCCGACCUGCACGAAUGGCGUAACGAUCUCCACGCUGUCUCGGCCAGAGACUCGGUGAAAUUGAAGUCGCGGUGAAAAUGCCGUGUACCCGCAGAAAGACGGAAAGACCCUGUGCACCUUUACUAUAGCUUGACAUUGGGUUUUGAACCUGCAUGUGUAGGAUAGGUGGGAGGCUGUGAAAGCUGUACGCCAGUAUGGCCGGAGCCACCCGUGAAAUACCACCCUUGUUUGUUCAGGACCCUAACUCGCAGCUGUAAUCCAGCGCGAAGACAGUGUCUGGUGGGUAGUUUGACUGGGGCGGUCGCCUCCUAAAGAGUAACGGAG